GAGCUAUGAGGAUGUUUGUACUAAGUGUGAUAGCUGGGUCUGUCACCAUCGUCUUCUAGACGAGAAAAGUGCAUCUGAGCUC
rfam:Lupinus angustifolius cultivar Tanjil contig_24249, whole genome shotgun sequence.